AUACGGAGGGUGCAAGCGUUAUCCGGAUUCAUUGGGUUUAAAGGGUGCGCAGGCGGAUAUUUAAGUCAGUGGUGAAAUCCCGGGGCUCAACCUCGGAACUGCCAUUGAUACUGAAUAUCUGGAAUACGGUUGAAGUGCGCGGAAUGUAGCAUGUAGCGGUGAAAUGCAUAGAGAUGCUACAGAACACCGAUCGCGAAGGCAGCUCACUAAGCCGAUAUUGACGCUCAGGCACGAAAGCGUGGGGAGCGAACAGGAUUAGAAACCCUUGUAGUCC
rnacentral:rRNA from 1 species